AAGGCUUUAGCUUAAUUAAAGCACCUGUUUUGCAUAUAGAAGAUGUGGGUUAAUAUCCUGCAAGUCUUA
rnacentral:tRNA from 1 species